CAAGGAGCCUGAUGUGGGACUCGAUCCCAGGACCUCGGGAUCAUGACCUGAGCCAAAGGCAGAUAGAUGCUUAACUGACUGAGCCACCCAGGCACCCCACUACUGUUGUAUUCUGCCAUAGCUCAAAAGCAGCUAUAAACAGCAUGUAAAUAAAUAACCAUGACUCUGUUCUGAUAAAUCUUUAUUUACAUAAUAUAAGAAGUGGGCCAGACUUGGCCUGUGGGUCCCAGGUGCAGACUCCUGUAUGGUAUUCCUCGCUCUGAUGGGGAAGAAGGAGUAGAGCCUCUAGAGAAAAGGACUAAAGAACAUCAUCAGACAGAAAAGCAGCACACACAGAGGUAAGGUGGAUAGCUCGGGCAGAUUUCAGAAACACCUCCAAUCCAUGUGAUAUCCCACCUCAUUUAUAGUAGAGGAUUAAGGAAAGUUUCCUCGAACAUCUCCUCCACCUUCAUCCGCAUCUAAGUUAUGAAAGUUCCAGUGGAUUUCUGGAACCAAAUCAAAGCUCCCUCUCAGUUAAUUCUUAGGGAAACAGCCUGCCCGUGAGGACUCCAGGGCACAACACAAAUUUGAAAUGGGGAGGAUACGGUUAACUAUCUGCCACGUGUGAGUUUCUCAUUUCAGGAUUACUCAUGCUGUCAUUUUUACCAAGGAAGAUAGGCGAGCUCCAGGGAGCAUCUUAAUAGAACAUGCAGUCAGGAAUGGUGUUCCCAGGGUGGAGAAACAAGAGCCUCGCCAGGACCUUUGCAGAAAGUGAAUGGUAAUGAGAAAGGCCAUAUAUCUACGCACAACGCAUGAAAGCCUGUCAGCUGGGGAAGAAGGCAUCCCCACCAGCCAGCGGCACAGCCCGGAAUGAAGGGCACAUGGAGCACCAUGCAGACCAAAAAUGGCAAAGCCAGAGCAUCAUCAUGGCUCUCUUUAACUUAAAGGAGAGCGGUCAUCGAGACUGAUUGAUCUUGAAACUCAUCUCAUCAAUGAAGUAGUAACUAAACCCCCAGAAGAUGACCUUCCCUUAGAAAUAAGAUUGGAAAAAUAUUGUAAAGAAUUUCUAAUGUAUGGUAAAUGUAUGACAUAAUGUAAGAAUUGCAAAUAAUGCCUAAUUUCUGUAACUAGAGACCUGCUAACAUAAAUCUUUCUAAGAAAAUUAUGGGGUAUUGAACAGAUGGCUUGUGGACAAAUGGAAAACAUUCAUUCCUUCAUUCAAUGUUUGUUGAACACCUACAUUGUACCAGAAACUUUGUAUUAAGAAAACCUUACAGGGCAGUGUUUUUUCCAUGAUCUUUCUUUUAGAAAUAAAAGUAAUUCAUAACUACAAUAUAUAAUUCAUAACUAUAUAUUCUAUAUAGUAUAUAGAAUAUAUUCUAUAUAAUAUAUUAUAUAUAACUAUAUAAUUCAUAACUAUAAUUAAAUGUAGUCUUUUUAAAGAGUAUUAUUAUGUG
rnacentral:lncRNA from 1 species